ensembl:lncRNA
CCCUGGGUCAGCAAGAUCCCCUGGAGGAGGGCAUGGUGCUGUGCUCUGCUUAGUCGCUCAGUGGUGUCCGACUCUUUGCGACCCUACAGCCCAGGAGGCCCCUUGUCCAUGAGGAUUCUCCAGGUAAGAAUACUGGAAUGGGUUACCAUACCCUCCUCCAGGGGAUCUUCCCAAUCCAGGGAUCGAACCUAGGUCUCCCGCAUUGCAGGAGGAUUCUUUACUUUCUGAGCCACCGAGGAAGCCCAUAUAUAUGUGUGUGUGUAUAUAUAUAUCUACAUCUUUUCUCUUGAUCAGAAGUUCGCAUGUGGUAUCCGAAUUAGCAGCGCCAGUUUCCCCCGAGAAAAUGUUAGACAUGCAGAUGGUGGGGCCUCAUCUAGAUCUACUUGAAUCUGAACUCUUGAGAGUGGGAUCUGUGGUUCAACAACCCCUCCAGGUGAUUCCUAUCCACGAUCAAGUUCGCGAAGCACUUGUAAGCUCACUCAAGUGGUGUAGAUGGUCAUCUUUAGGUUUGGCGGAGGAUGUGUCCUGGGUCGCUUUGGGCAGUAGGGAUAAAGUUGCGCAGGUCCCCUCCACCUCUCCCCCUCUCCCCCUAGCCUCUCCCAGCACCUGCAACUCCACUUCAGCUCUUGGCCUCGGGUCCUUUCCCCCGGGAGCCGCAGUCAAAACGCGGCAAGUGGAUUCGGAGUCUGCCUGCCAGAAUGCCGGCCGGGCAUGCGUAGUGGCGCCAGGGCAGCAGCUAGGCUGGCGCGACUGGGGAGCCGCAGAGCAGACUUGCGUGUGCCGGGAUCCGGAGCGGUAGCUGAGGGCUCAAGGGCAGAACGGCGGCUGCAGUUUCCUCAGGCUUCUCUGGUGGCUCAGUGCUAAAGAAUCUGCCUGCCAGUGCAGGAAACAUGGGUUCGCUAUCUGGUGAGGGAAGAUCCUGCAUGCUGUGGAGCAGCUGAGCCCAUGUGCCACAACUAGUGGGUCUGUGCUCCAGAACCCAGGAACUGCGACUACGGAAGCUCACCUCCCACAGCUACUGAAGCGUGUGUGCCCUGAGCCCAUGCUCUGCAACAAGAGAAAAGCCCAUGCAGCAGUGAAGACCCAGCAGAGCCAAAAAUAAAGAAUAAAUAAAUUUUAAAAAGUUAAAAAAAUUUCCUCAUUAAAAGGGAGUCCUCAGGUUGGGGCUAUUCUGGGGAAAGGUGUCACCAUGCACAACAAACUAACUUUAUUAUCAUUUUUUUUUCAAACUAACUUUAAAAAGCAUGUUGAUUAAAAAAAAAUGUGAGUGCACUUGGGAAUUCCUUGAAUUCUGUGCAAUAAACAUUUUUAAAACAAAAAAACAGCAAAAAAAAAAAAAAAAGACCCUAGCUGGGCUGCAUAGAUUGGAGCAGCCCCUCUUGUUCUCUGUCUGAAAAUGGUUCUCUGUUGUUUGAGAACAGCUCUUAAGCACACAGGAGAGCCCCACCUCAGGCUCUUUAUGUUGACACCAUGUUCACUCAUCAAAUGUUUACUGAACACAGUCUGGGCCAGGCACUGAGCUAGGCCCCACAGCCUCUGCCCUCAUAGAAACAGCAGUCUAGACCAAAGGUUGGCAAACUCUGUAAAGGGACAGAUAA